UUUAAGUUACGGGUCAUAUAUUUUUGUCUUUUGAUGUCUUAGAGAAGACAUUGAAAAAAUUCCAUGUACUAUUUCACUGUAUAGGCUACAGGUUUACCUGGUCUAAUAGGAGGAAAGCUCUGGACACCAUUGACGAGAUGAUGGAUUAUGCGUUGAUAAAUGACUUGAACUUUGGCUGGUCACGGCGGUUGCACAUCUCCCUAGGUUUGAGGAAGUAUAGCUUCGAGCUUGAGGUGGAGGUGGAAUCUUGGUGUCACAAAGGUUCUAAUCGCUUAUCAAAAUUGGGAUGUGUUGGCGAAUCCCUUGGUAGUUGGGUGCGAGAAAAAUUUGAGGAUAUCCCAUAAAAGAUUGCUAAUUAAUAACAAGGUAAGCUUGCAAGAACUUCAGUGAAGGACCCAAACUGAACAAGUACUUGAAUGACAGAAGUGGAAAGAACUCUUGAUUUGUUGCUUGAUCAUGUGGAGCCAACGCUCUUGGGCCUCUUGGCUAUAGCAUAGGGAUAAAAACACUAGGUUUCUCCAUUCAAAAGCCUCUCAAAUGUGUAAGCGUAACAUGAUCAAAAAGCUUGCAGAUGACAGGGGAAGAGAGGUGGAGGACAAUAGAGAUACUGCUUGUAAUUGAUUAUUUUAUGAAUUUAUUUUCCUCUUAUAACCCUGUUAAUAUUGUUGAAGUUACAUCUCUUGCGACUAACAGGAUUACAGGAUCACUAAGGGUCAUAGAAAGAUCAUCAAUAUGUCAUUCACUAAGGAGGAUAUGUGUGAUACUCUUUUCGAGAUGCACUCACAAAAGCUUCAGAAGUGCUGCAAUGGAGUAUCUCCCCAGGUAUGAUUAAUCAAACCCUGUUGGUUUUAAUCCCUAAGAUCAAAAAGCUUUUACAUGCUAGUCAUUUUAGGCCCAUUAGCUUAAUUUAUGC